rnacentral:snoRNA from 1 species
AGAAGAUGAUGAGUAACAAAUUGGUCCGUGUUUCUGAAACAAUCGUGACUGAUAAUCCAUUACCAAUCUCUGAUUCU